UACAGAGGUGGCAAGCGUUGUUCGGAAUUACUGGGCGUAAAGGGCGCGUAGGCGGCCGAUCAAGUCGGAGGUGAAAUCCCUCGGCUCAACUGAGGAAUUGCCUUCGAUACUGUUCGGCUUGAGUCCUGGAGAGGGUAGCGGAAUUCCCGGUGUAGCGGUGAAAUGCGUAGAGACCGGGAAGAACACCAGUGGCGAAGGCGGCUACCUGGACAGGUACUGACGCUGAAGCGCGAAAGCUAGGGGAGCAAACAGG
rnacentral:rRNA from 1 species